AGAGCAUUACUAUGUUGUCAAGAGACAAGAACUAAAAACACCAGACAUCAAAAGCUGUAGCUGCCAAUUCUGAGGUGAAGACUCCUUUCUGUGUGAAAUUGCAUGAUUCCAAAGAAAUCCCGAACAACAGAACGCAAGCCUUCUUUGACGGAGCAGCCGAAACACCCUGAGCUGCCAGAGAACCCGUGCUUCGGCAUGCCGUCUGAGGUGAUGGCUGCACACAGGGCAGUAAGCCUGGGAAACACGCCGCUUCCUGACUCCUCCACUCGGCAGCUGAGUUCUCCCACCAAACACAUCUCAGGGCAUUAACAAAUAGGAAUUGAUCCAAGGUGCCUAUUUGGGAGCCAGUGGAAAGAAAAUCAAGCAUGUUCCCCUUGGAGAAGAAAAGGCUUAGGAAAGACAUGAUGUGCUAACCGCCUCAAAAGCCUGAAAGACCAUCAUGUAGAAAAAGAAAGUGCAGGGGCGCCUGGGUGGCUCAGUUGGUUAAGCGUCUGACUUUGGCUCAGGUCAUCUCACGGUUUGUGGGUUCGAGCCCCGCGUCGGGCUCUGGGCUAACAGCUCAGA